GGGAAACUGAGAUGGAAUUCAUAUAGUGUAAGACAAUCAUAUUGAUUUUGUUCAAGGAACAAAAAUUCAUAAAUAGAAUGACAAGAACAGUGACUGAAACACUAAACAUAGAAUUAGAAAUGAUGAUAUAGUAAAUUUACUUUACAUAAGUCCAAGACUAAGAGAAAGAAAAAAUAGUGAUAUUGACAAGUGUGCCUUUCUCCUAUAAGUAUCUAACCACACCCCAAGAUAAAGGAUCUUUUUCUCUCCUCUCUAGCUCUCUCAUUCUCUCAAAUAGAUACUCACAAGUUCGUCGAAGUGGGCACGGUGAGAAAACCCCAAUACCCACCUAAAUGGCCUCUCU
rnacentral:misc_RNA from 1 species